CGGUGCUUUUCAACCACAAUUUAGAUUUUGAAGAUUUCUUUCUCAGUGAUCUAACAGAAAGGACAGCUGUCUCCUGCUUUGUGGAUUUCCAUGGCUUGGUUGUGCUCCUGAGCCCAUCCUGGUGCUGGAGAACUCCAAACUCCUCUGAAUUUUGCUUUUUCUCUCCCAUCACUUCAAAUCUCUGCUGUUGUUUAUGAUCUGGCUGAACACGGGAAAGGGUAUGCAGGAAGGAUCUGAAGGACAGACCCCCCGAGGUUGAGAUUUGCCUUUUCUACUUGUAUUUUCUCAUUCAUGGUAUCCAAUGGCCUGUUGUUCUGCUACAACCCCACUAAACCUUUUUUAGUCUAGAUCCUCUUCCUUUCUUCUGACAAAGUGUCUUGAAGUGUCAGCUGAAAAUAUCCUGGCAGGAUGUGGAGACUGAAGAAUGCUUCAGGGGAGCUUCAUUUGCCACAGCCUUGUGAGAUGUUACAGAACCAGUUCCUCAGUGUGGAGCUAGGGGGAGGUACCGUCUUUCACAUGAGAUAAAAUCAGGAUCCUUGGGACCCUAACAAAUUCUAAGAUGCUUUUUGCAAGAGCAGAGAUGUUAGGCCAUUUUACAUGGCUAAAUGUUUGUGCAGCUUCCCAGCAAUCUGUGUCCCAGCUCUGGGCAUCCUGUAGUGUUAGAACAUCUACCUCCCCAGUGAUGUCUGUGCUUUCUCUGAGCAUCGGUGCAGGAGAGAUAGCAGAUCCAGUAUGCUUCAGCAUCUGGGAUGAGAGAUAUUAAUUGCAGGCAUGAGUCUUGUGGGAGAUUUCCAGGGACAGGAGCAAUGAUUCACUGAGGAGUUCCCUUUGGUGUCGCCCACCCAUGUCACAACAAGCUGUAGAAGAACCAGCACUGAAAUGGAAGCAUCUCCCAGCUGCAGUCGUACUGCUCUCAUAACAACUGGACCUCAGCCAGUCUCACUUCUGCAGGGGGCUGGCUUUGAUGUAGGGGAGUUUCUGCACAAGGAUGGCAGUACUUGGAGCGUGCAGUGAUGGGAAAUCCUUCCUGGUGUGCAGAGCUCUGGGGCUGAAGGUGCAGGACUGGUUAGCAGAAGUGCAAGGUCUCCUGCUUAUGAGAUAUGAUGGGAUAUUUGGAGAAAGUGUAAGGCUUCGGGCUGGAGCACUGCUGUUGCAGGUGCCGGCGGGGAGCUUGGAGGUUUCCAUCAUUCGCUGACCCCGCUGUGCUGAUGGGGCUGUGCUGUUAUCGUGCUGCCUUUGUGCUGAGAUAAGCGAGCUGCAUGCAGCCAUUCACAGUGACUGUGUUAGCUGCAGACGAACCAGAG
rnacentral:lncRNA from 1 species